GAGUAAUGCGUGACCAACCUGCCCCAUGCUCCAGAAUAGCUCUUGGAAACGGGUGGUAAUGCUGGAUGCUCCAACUUGACGCAUGUCUUGUUGGGAAAGUGUUUAGUGGCAUGGGAUGGGGUCGCGUCCUAUCAGCUUGUAGGCGGGGUAAUGGCCCACCUAGGCUUCGACGGGUAGCCGGCCUGAGAGGGCGGACGGCCACAUUGGGACCGAGAUACGGCCCAGACUCCUACGGGAGGCAGCAGCA
rnacentral:rRNA from 1 species